rnacentral:rRNA from 1 species
GACGAACGCUGGCGGCGUGCUUAACACAUGCAAGUCGAACGGAGUGGCGAACGGGUGAGUAACACGUGGGUGACUUGCCCUGCACUUCGGGAUAAGCCUGGGAAACUGGGUCUAUUACUGGAUAGUGUGGGAUGGGCCCGCGGCCUAUCAGCUUGUUGGUGGGGUAAUGGCCUACCGAGGCGGCGUCGGGUAGCCGGCCUGAGUGGGUGGACGGCCACAUUGGUGCUGAGAGACGGCCCAGACUUCGACGGGAGGCAGCAGUGGGGAAUAUUGCUCAAUGUGCGGAAGCGUGAUGCAGCGACGCCGCGUGGGGGAUGUCGACCUUCUGGUUGUAAACUCCUUUCACCAUCGACGCGGUAGAUGAAGAAGAAGCACCGGCUAACUACGUGCCAGCAGCCGCGGUAAUAC